AUUGAACGCUGGCGGCAGGCCUAACACAUGCAAGUCGAGCGGACCGGCGGACGGGUGAGUAAUGCCAAUGAAUCUGACCGGUCGCGGGGGAUAACGUUCGGAAAUGGGCGGUAAUACUGCAUACUAUCAGAAUAGACUAGGGCGGAUUAGCUAGGUGGUGGGGUAAAGGACUACAAAGGCGACGAUCCGUAGCUGGUCUGAGAGGAUGAUCAGCCACACUGGGACUGAGACACGGUCCAGACUCCUACGGGAGGCAGCAGUGGGGAAUAUUGGACAAUGGGCGAAAGCCUGAUCCAGCCAUGCCGCGUGUGUGAAGAAGGUCUUCGGGUUGUAAAGCACUUUAGGUUGGGAGGCGUUACCUACAGAAUAAGCACCGGCUAACUUCGUGCCAGCAGCCGCGGUAAUUC
rnacentral:rRNA from 1 species